rnacentral:lncRNA from 1 species
UCAAACCGACCCGGUCUGCACAUAACCAAACAUACCCCUUUCAAUCUCUUCCCCAUUUUUCAAACCCCUUCAACCCUAGGAGACCCCAGCGCCCCCUUCUCUUCUUCUCCAAGCUCACCACCAGCAGCCAUAGCCCCCUCCCCGUCACUCGGCGACCACCCACAGCUCCACCCCGUUCACCACCUGAAGCAGCAGCCCACGACCACUUCCGCUUCAUCUUCGUCAACAGCAGCAUCCAAACGACCCCUUCUGCUCCAUUUCCCUCACGACACGAACCAAACCAAACAGACCCCUCAUCUCGUCAUACCACCAGUCCCCGUCGACCAGUCCCUCACGUCCCGUCGACCACCAGCAGUGCAUCCAAACACAAACCAGCUGAUGCCCGCUUCUGCCCAGUUCUCACCCAGUCGAGGUUCCGUCCGUUUUCGAACUCUCCGGCGAGCUUUAUAGUUGUCCGUGGUCUAAGUCGAGGUUUCCGUUGGUGUACUUGUUCUGAUCCGGUCAGUUGGUUCAAGUUUCAUUUCUUUUGUCCGUAUUUCAAUUUGUUCGAUUUUUUUUUGAAUCCAAAAUCAAUGUAUAUGUUUGAUUUAUUUGUUUGGUUUUCUCCUCUUUUACUUGAUGCUUAUGUGAUAACAUCUUAUGAUUGUUUGUUGGUUUAAAUUGUUUCAUCCGUAUUAUGUUUAGUUCCUUUCUCUUCGUUGUCUGCCAUUUUUACAUAUGAACUCAGUUGUUUGAAUUCAUUAUAUUACAGUGUUCAUACAUUUUGUUUAAGUCAGAAAAGUGUUAGUUUGUGCCCAUGUAUCUGUGUCAAUCAUGGUUGGAAAUUUGACCUUGUUAGUUUAAUAUGAUUUUGGUCUGAACACUGGUCUUUAUUAUGGAUGCCAUUUGAUUUGAUCAGAGUUUCUAUCUUGAGUUUUCGACUGAUUUGAUAAGUUUGAAUUGGUUAUAACUGAUGUGUUUAUUGCUUUAGAUCCAGUUUAUUUGUUUUCAGUCAUUAAUUAGGAAUUAGUUUAGGUUAAUCAGUGAUUAGGUUUCUUAUUUAAGAAUUAGUUAUAGCUAAUGUGGUCACAUGGGUUUGAGGUGGAAUAGCUGUUCAGGGCAUCAUAGGGGUAAUUUGGGGUGUCGAAAUUUGAAAAAUGCUUUAGUUUGAAUGACUGUCAAUAAGUUACUAAUGGACCAUUAAACUAUUGUAUUUAUUUAAGAGUAGUGGGAACAAGACAUAUUGAUUUAAAUAAAGGAAAAAGGGGUUUGAAAAGUUAAAAAAAGGGAAUAAUAAUGAAAAAGUUAAAAAAAGGGAAUAAUAAUGAAAAAGUUAAAAGCGUUCACACAGUAGAGGAAUAUAUAAAAGCUGGAAAGUAAAAGGAAGUGGGGCAAUAAUAAAAGUUUUCCUUUUACAACUGUAAAAGAAAAAGGAGGGCUAAAAAGGGAAAAGGAGUUUGGAUUUUAAUAUAGAGAUGAAGAGAGUCAUCAGGGGGACGAAAAUAGAGAAUAAGAGAAAUAAUUGAGAGUUAAAGAACUAGAGAGCUGAAAACCCCAAUGUUUAUUUGAAGCUUCUCUUUUUCUUCAUUGAUUUCAUUUCUCUUGAUUCAAAUACACUAAGACUGGUCUUAUGUAACUCUAGUGUAUCUUUGAGUUCAUUUGGCUUGUGUUGAUAUUGCUGUGGGUUAAGGUCCAUUUCUUUUGGUAUUUUUUGGUUUGAUUUUAAUGGGUUUCUGGUCUGUUGCUGUUGGCAUUUCUGGGAUUCUACUUGUUUUUUAUCAGUUACUGCCUGCUGUUCACUAUUGUUGUUGUAUUAUUACUACUGCUGCUGAUUCUCGUCUUCUUCUUCUCUUGUUUCCCAAUACCAGGUACUGUAACACUAGCUAUUGUACGCUGAAAAAUGUGGAAGCAUGAAUACAUAUGAAAUAAUGGAAGUUUGAAGUUGAUUUAGUUUUAACUUUUCUUUUUCACUUAUUAUAGUUGAAACAUUUCAUGUACUACUAUUAUGUAAACUUCUAUCACUUUGUAUAAUCGGACAUCUUGUAGUGAUGUAGUAAAUAAUAUUCUGUUUUAUUUUGAUUAUUAAGUAGUAUAUAUUUAAGCAUGUCCAUUACUGUCAAACUAUUUGAUAAUUAGAACAAGAUGAAAAUAACAUGAGUUGGUUUCUAUUGAAUCGGCUUGUUAAAACUGGUUAGGUCAUUAGC